UAGAGUUUGAUCCUGGCUCAGAUUGAACGCUGGCGGCAGGCUUAACACAUGCAAGUCGAACGAUGACUAUCUAGCUCGCUAGAUAUGAUUAGUGGCGGACGGGUGAGUAACAUUUAGGAAUCUACCUAGUAGUGGGGGAUAGCUCGGGGAAACUCGAAUUAAUACCGCAUACGACCUACGGGUGAAAGGGGGCGCAAGCUCUUGCUAUUAGAUGAGCCUAAAUCAGAUUAGCUAGUUGGUGGGGUAAAGGCCCACCAAGGCGACGAUCUGUAACUGGUCUGAGAGGAUGAUCAGUCACACCGGAACUGAGACACGGUCCGGACUCCUACGGGACGCAGCA
rnacentral:rRNA from 1 species